rnacentral:rRNA from 1 species
AAUACGGAGGGCGCGAGCGUUAAUCGGAAUUACUGGGCGUAAAGCGCAUGCAGGUGGUUUGUUAAGUCAGAUGUGAAAGCCCGGGGCUCAACCUCGGAAUUGCAUUUGAAACUGGCAGACUAGAGUACUGUAGAGGGGGGUAGAAUUUCAGGUGUAGCGGUGAAAUGCGUAGAGAUCUGAAGGAAUACCGGUGGCGAAGGCGGCCCCCUGGACAGAUACUGACACUCAGAUGCGAAAGCGUGGGGAGCAAACAGGAUUAGAUACCCUGGUAGUCCACGCCGCAAACGAUGUCUACUUGGAGGUUGUGGCCUUGAGCCGUGGCUUUCGGAGCUAACGCGUUAAGUAGACCGCCUGGGGAGUACGGUCGCAAGAUUAAAACUCAAAUGAAUUGACGGGGGCCCGCACAAGCGGUGGAGCAUGUGGUUUAAUUCGAUGCAACGCGAAGAACCUUACCUACUCUUGACAUCCAGAGAACUUUCCAGAGAUGGAUUGGUGCCUUCGGGAACUCUGAGACAGGUGCUGCAUGGCUGUCGUCAGCUCGUGUUGUGAAAUGUUGGGUUAAGUCCCGCAACGAGCGCAACCCUUAUCCUUGUUUGCCAGCGAGUAAUGUCGGGAACUCCAGGGAGACUGCCGGUGAUAAACCGGAGGAAGGUGGGGACGACGUCAAGUCAUCAUGGCCCUUACGAGUAGGGCUACACACGUGCUACAAUGGCGCAUACAGAGGGCUGCCAACUUGCGAGAGUGAGCGAAUCCCAAAAAGUGCGUCGUAGUCCGGAUUGGAGUCUGCAACUCGACUCCAUGAAGUCGGAAUCGCUAGUAAUCGUGGAUCAGAAUGCCACGGUGAAUACGUUCCCGGGCCUUGUACACACCGCCCGUCACACCAUGGGAGUGGGCUGCAAAAGAAGUAGGUAGUUUAACCUUCGGGAGGACGCUUACCACUUUGUGGUUCAUGACUGG